GCGCCCGUAGCUCAAUGGAUAGAGCAUCUGACUACGGAUCAGAAAGUUACAGGUUCAAGUCCUGUCGGGAGCACCA
rnacentral:tRNA from 1 species